rnacentral:sRNA from 1 species
UUAUGGCCGACUUUCUC